CACCGCCCGUCACACCAUGGGAGUUGAUUGCUCCAGAAGUGCCUGAGCGAACCGUAAGGGAGCAGGGCCCAAGGAGUGGUCGAUGACUGGGGUG
rnacentral:rRNA from 1 species